rnacentral:rRNA from 1 species
GACUCUCGGCAACGGAUAUCUCGGCUCUCGCAUCGAUGAAGAACGUAGCGAAAUGCGAUACUUGGUGUGAAUUGCAGAAUCCCGUGAACCAUCGAGUCUUUGAACUCAAGUUGCGCCCGAAGCCGUCAGGCCGAGGGCACGUCUGCCUGGGCGUCA